rnacentral:rRNA from 1 species
UGGCUCAGGAUGAACGCUGGCGGCGUGCCUAACACAUGCAAGUCGAGCGAGAAACAUAUAACGGAAACUUCGGUAGAAAUUAUAUGUGGAAAGCGGCGGACGGGUGAGUAACGCGUGGGCAACCUGCCCUAUACAUUGGGAUAACAACGAGAAAUCGUUGCUAAUACCGAAUAAGCCUCCAGUAAGGCAUCUUACUGAAGGAAAAACUCCGGUGGUAUAGGAUGGGCCCGCGUCUGAUUAGCUAGUUGGUAAGGUAGAGGCUUACCAAGGCAACGAUCAGUAGCCGACCUGAGAGGGUGACCGGCCACAUUGGGACUGAGACACGGCCCAAACUCCUACGGGAGGCAGCAGUGGGGAAUAUUGCACAAUGGGGGAAACCCUGAUGCAGCGACGCCGCGUGAAGGAAGAAGGUUUUCGGAUCGUAAACUUCUAUCAGCAGGGAAGAAAAAAAUGACGGUACCUGACUAAGAAGCCCCGGCUAACUACGUGCCAGCAGCCGCGGUAAUACGUAGGGGGCAAGCGUUAUCCGGAAUUACUGGGUGUAAAGGGUGCGUAGGCGGUUAUGCAAGUCAGAUGUGAAAGCCCAAGUCUCAAACUAGGGAUUGCAUUUGAAACUGUGUAACUAGAGUACAGGAGAGGUAAGUGGAAUUUCUAGUGUAGCGGUGAAAUGCGUAGAUAUUAGGAAGAACACCAGUGGCGAAGGCGGCUUACUGGACUGUAACUGACGCUGAGGCACGAAAGCGUGGGGAGCGAACAGGAUUAGAUACCCUGGUAGUCCACGCCGUAAACGAUGAAUGCUAGGUGUCGGGGGUCGACAGACCUUCGGUGCCGAAGUUAACACAUUAAGCAUUCCACCUGGGGAGUACGAUCGCAAGAUUGAAACUCAAAGGAAUUGACGGGGGCCCGCACAAGCAGUGGAGCAUGUGGUUUAAUUCGAAGCAACGCGAAGAACCUUACCAAGUCUUGACAUCCCUUUGAUCGGACCGUAACGGGACCUUCUCUUCAGAGCAAAGGUGACAGGUGGUGCAUGGUUGUCGUCAGCUCGUGUCGUGAGAUGUUGGGUUAAGUCCCCCAACGAGCGCAACCCUUAUCUUUAGUAGCCAGCCUUACGGAUGGGGACUCUAAAGAGACUGCCGGGGAUAACUCGGAGGAAGGUGGGGAUGACGUCAAAUCAUCAUGCCCCUUAUGACUUGGGCUACACACGUGCUACAAUGGUGGUGACAAAGGGAAGCAAGCAAGUGAUUGUAAGCCAACCUCAAAAAAGCCAUCUCAGUUCGGAUUGUAGUCUCCAACUCGACUAUAUGAAGCUGGAAUUCCUAGUAAUCGCGGAUCAGAAACCCGCGGUGAAUACGUUCCCGGGCCUUGUACACACCCCCCGUCACACCAUGGAAGUCGGAAGCCCCCGAAGCCGGUGACUCAACCGCAAGGAGAGAGCCGUCGAAGGUGAAGUCGAUAACUAGGGUGAAGUCGUAACAAGGUACCCGUAA